CAAUAGCGUAUAUUAAAGUUGUUGCAGUUAAAAAGCUCGUAGUUGGAUUUCUGGUUGAAGCGACCGGUCGGGCGUUGAUUCGUCUGCACUGGAGUCGGUUUUGGCCAUCCUCUAGGAAAGUGCGUCUGGUAUUAAGUUAUCGGGCGUAUGAUCCUGGUCUUUUACUGUGAAAAAAUUAGAGUGUUUAAAGCAGGCCUUCGCCUUGAAUACAUUAGCAUGGAAUAAUAAGAUAGGACUUUGGUCUAUUUUGUUGGUUUGCAGACCGAAGUAAUGAUUAUUAGGGAUAGUUGGGGGUAUUUAUAUUCCGAUGUCAGAGGUGAAAUUCUUAGAUUUUCGGAAGAUAAACUUAUGCGAAAGCAUUUACCAAGGAUGUUUUCAUUAA
rnacentral:rRNA from 1 species